AUGGGAAUAAUGGAGUACAGAAAUGAUAGUGAGUUCAAAGUAAGGCUGAGAGGGAGUAAUGGGCGAGGAGAUGAACCUAGGAGAGCAAAAUUGAGAACUCCAGCUAAAGCAGCUCCUGCCCAGCGGCGAGGACUUCAGCGGCAGCAGCACCUGUGCAUGGGGAGGAACAGCCCCUGGGCGCGCGUAGGAAGCAGCUCGCCUCCACUAGCGGGCGGAGGUGGAGGGCGGGUGGCAGAGCCGCGGAGGCGGAGGUGGAGUGCCGGGGCGAAGGCGGAGGCGGAAGACGCUGAGGAAGAUGACGGACAGAUUCAAAGUUUGAACUGA
rnacentral:rRNA from 1 species